rnacentral:rRNA from 1 species
CGGCGGACGGGUGAGUAAUACGUGGAUAACCUACCUAUAAGACUGGGAUAACUUCGGGAAACCGGAGCUAAUACCGGAUAAUAUAUUGAACCGCAUGGUUCAAUAGUGAAAGACGGUUUUGCUGUCACUUAUAGAUGGAUCCGCGCCGCAUUAGCUAGUUGGUAAGGUAACGGCUUACCAAGGCGACGAUGCGUAGCCGACCUGAGAGGGUGAUCGGCCACACUGGAACUGAGACACGGUCCAG